UACGAAGGGGGCUAGCGUUGCUCGGAAUGACUGGGCGUAAAGAGCUCGUAGGCGGUUUGUCGCGUCUGCUGUGAAAACCCGAGGCUCAACCUCGGGCCUGCAGUGGGUACGGGCAGACUAGAGUGCGGUAGGGAGAUUGGAAUUCCUGGUGUAGCGGUGAAAUGCGCAGAUAUCAGGAAGAACACCCGUGGCUAAGGCGGCUCUCUAGUACGGUACUGACGCUGAGACGCGAAGCGUGGGAGCGAACAGG
rnacentral:rRNA from 1 species